UGAACCAUUUGACUGGGGGAGAGGGAGAGGAGCGGGCUGACAAAUUGGAAGGCACACUCUCAGGCAAGUAAAUAUCAACUCUGAGUCCUCGGUUUGGGAGCCUAAGGAGAAAAGGAACCUCCCGGAUGCUUGGUCGGGAUGCCUGGAUCUUAAAAAUGUGUGAAAGCAUGUAAGUGGCACACUUCUACAACGUCACCGAAGCAAGAUAGAUUAAACAAAGGUGUCAGAGAAGUUUGGAAUAAGGAAUAUUUUAACGCAGCCUUGAAAGGAUUUCAUCGUUUGACGGUUGUUUAUUUAUGAGACGAUUAAACUGAAAGUACAUUUAAACCAGCCUCUAAAACACCGUAUGGCUUGCAGCUCCCCCUGCCACGGCAGAAUUCAACUCCACUGCAGAAGCGUUACGGGGAAAAGAUUUUCCUACAAAUAGGGUACUUUUUAAAACGUCACACACGGCAAAAUUCCGCGUGGUCUUUAUCUGGGACAUGACGCCUUUGGCACCAGCCGUCACUGUCCCUAAACAUCAGCGUCCUCUUCAAACGGUAACAUGCACGAGCAGAGAAUGGCUUUUGGUAAUGAACGAACGGCUUCCCCGAUCUGUCGCGUAAACAGCAGCUUGAUUGGAUCAUCUGGCCUUUAAUAACGAAGAACGGGAGCAGCACACACACCGGACCCAAUGUGUUGGCUCUGCAGCCGGAUCAGAAAACUCUCCCCCGGCCUCAACAGCAAAUCUCGCUGGGGUGUCCCCGCGCCUUCAAGUCGACCCACGAUGACAAAGCCCACGGGAGCCGUUAGCACACUAACCGGGAGCGUGGUCCUGUCUGAUUUUCACAGUGACAUGUGCGAUGUGGCCGCCGCUCUCGAACCCCGGAGCCGGCCGCCGUGCCCGAAUCAACCGGUUUGCUUCGUUCCUGGGCAGGAGGCCGUGCGCCUGGAAUCCUGCCCCAUCCCGUCUCCGCAAGCUGUCUCCUACAAUCAUUCUCCCAGCUCCUGAGAUCCUGCUUCCGCCACAAAGCCCUUCCCAGCUGAGAGCCAAGUGAUUCUCCUCCAGCUUCCCACCUGUUCGGAGCCACCGCAAGCUCCCUGUCCCCGGCUUCCAUUGUUUGCACUGAGCAGCAGUGGGCACCGCGAUGUCCUGCCCGCUAAAUGACUGCAGCAUCCUGCUCGCCCUUUUCUACCCACCCGUCUGCAUCCGUGAGGGCCAAGACCCGAGUGUGUAAAUGUGCUUUGCUCGGAUCAGCCACCCGAGAAGCUGUGGAGUGACUGUCGUCUUCUCCUGCCCCCCCCCCCCCAUCCCUCCCCACCCAACCACCUCGCAAGGCGUCACCAAGGAUCAAAGUUCUGUGGCUCGGUAAACCAGGCUCACGUUUAGGGUCAAGUGUGCCCCCUGUGAGACUUCCUUCAACCUUUUCUGGGCCCGGCUCAAGGGUCCUCGGGACAGAGUAAUGCUGGCUUAAACUGGCCAGCUCUGAAAAUUAAACUAAUAAUCGUGAGUUUAGUGGAAGGGAAGAAUGGCUUUUUUUUUUUUAAGUGGUUAAAAAUACCACUAACAACUGAAUCUAAAUAUUAGAAUCCUUCUUCCCUCAAUUAUAUUUUCCUCUUUUGUGAUUCAGCAUCAUUUUAAUUGAACUGGAUCCCCCAAGACUAAAAAUCUGGUAUCUAGGACUAUAAAGCACCUUCAGUUGGUAGAACAGGUGGGAAGUUUUCUUUUAAAUCCUUUUUUAGAUUUUGUCUCUAUCCACCAUUAAAAUUAAUUUCACACCCAUUUUCCCCCUUGUACCUUUGGGAAAGGCGCGUUCUCUUACAGCUUUCUCUUAAUGUCAAAACAAAAGCUCCCUUAUACCUCUUAGAAUCUCGAGAUCCCUUUCCAACAAAGAGGAGAACAAAUGUGCUAGAAUUAAGGCAACUGGGGAAGGAGUGGAUCGCUGCAGAAUAGAACCAACCCUCUUCAACUUCUGGGAACUAGUAGCUCUAAUAUUAAUAAACAACGUACAACGGGAGAAUGUAGACGAUCA
ensembl:lncRNA